rnacentral:rRNA from 1 species
GUGAAGUAGGGGCUGCACGCCGGGGUAACACGGAUGGGGCAAGCUGUGGCCGGAGUGAUUGGGGGUAAAGAGCGGGUAGGCUGCCAUGCAGGUCAGUUGUGAAAACUCGAGGCUCAAACGCGGGACGUCGGUUGAAACCGGAUGGCUAGAGGCCGGAAGAGGAGAGUGGAAUUCCCGGUGGAGCGGUGAAAUGCGCAGAUAUCGGGAAGAACACCCAUGGCGAAGGCAGCUCUCUGGGACGGUACUGACGCUGAGACGCGAAAGCGUGGGGAGCAAACAGGAUUAGAUACCCGGGUAGUC